rnacentral:rRNA from 1 species
CCUGGUAGUCCACGCCAUAUACGAUGUAUGCUUGGUGUUCCCUCUCGUAGGGAGUUCCGGGAGGAAAUCCGGUUAAGCAUACCACACUGGGGAGUAACGAUCUGCAAGGCUUGAAACGUCAAACGGAAUUCGACGGAGGGCCACGCACAAGACGGUGGAUUACGCUGGUCUAAUUCGAUGCAACGCGAAGAACCUUACCCGGGCUUAAAGUGACAGCUAAUCUACCCGAAAAGGUGGAGUGCUUCGGCCGCUGUUACAGGUGCAGCAUGGCUGUCGUCAGCUCGUGCCGUGAGGUGUUGGGUUAAGUCCCGCAACGAGCGCAACCCCUAUCCCCAGUUACCAUCGGUUCGGCCGGGUACUCUGUGGAGACUGCCCGCGCAAGCGGAGAGGAAGGUGGGGAUGACGUCAAGUCAUCAUGGCCAUUAUGUCCGGGGCUACACACGUAAUACAAUGGUUGGUACAGUAGGCGAAGCCGCGAGGCGAAGAUAAUCCCUAAAGCCAAUCUCAGUUCGGAUUGUAGUCUGCAACUCGACUACAUGAAGCUGGAAUCGCUAGUAAUCGUAGAUCAGCACGCUACGGUGAAUACGUUCCCGGGCAUUGUACACACCGCCCGUCAAGCCACGGAAGUCGGGGCGCCCGAA